rnacentral:SRP_RNA from 1 species
GCCAGGCACAGUAGAAUGUGCUAGUACUGGGGAGGCUGGGGUGAGAGGAUUGUUUGAGUCCAGGAGCCCUGGACUGUAGUAUACUAUGCUGAUUGGGUGUCUACCCUAAGUUUGGCAUCAAUAUGGUAACCUCCUGGGAGUCACCAGGUUGCCUAGGGAGGGGUGAACCAGCCCAGAUCAGAAAUGGAGCAAAUCAAAACUCCUGGGCCAAUCUGUAGAGGGAUUGUACCUGAGAAAAUAAUGAGGCUAUUUAAAAAGACACCA